UACAGAGGUCUCAAGCGUUGUUCGGAUUCAUUGGGCGUAAAGGGUGCGUAGGCGGCGCGGUAAGUCGGGUGUGAAAUCUCGGAGCUUAACUCCGAAACUGCAUUCGAUACUGCCGUGCUUGAGGACUGGAGAGGAGACUGGAAUUUACGGUGUAGCGGUGAAAUGCGUAGAUAUCGAUAAGGAAGACCAGUGGCGAAGGCGGGUCUCGUGGACAGUUCCUGACGCUGAGGCACG
rnacentral:rRNA from 1 species